rnacentral:rRNA from 1 species
GGGUCAGUAGGUUGGUCGUGCCACCGGUACGUACUGGUCUCACUGAUUCCUCCUUCCUGAAGAACCGUAAUGCCAUUAAUUUGGUGUUGCGGGGAAACAGGACUGUUACUUUGAAAAAAUUAGAGUGUAUAAAGCAAGCUAACGCUUGAAUACAUUAGCAUGGAAUAAUGAAAUAGGACGAUCGAUCCUAUUUUGUUGGUUUCUAGGAUUGACGUA